GCCAUACUUUUUCUAAGUGGACUAUUAUGAACUUUAACAUUUACAUGCUAACUGAGGUGUGGAGAGUCCUAAGAUGGAGCUGUAGGGUCUUUUGUAGUUUCUUCCGAGCAUUACAUAGUCUGACCUGGGACGUCCACUCCUGGGAAGAUUGACUAAAGAAAAUAUUUCCCACUUGUAAUUGAUCUCUCUGCAGAAUGAUGGACUCCAUAUAGUUUGGAAAUGACCUUAUAAGACUUAUAGAGGAACAGAUGAUUCUCUGUUUUGUCCUGACAAGUAAACCCUUAUCGUUCAAAGAUGGAUCCCUUUUCUUAUUAUAUGACUGUAGAUUUAAAUGAAGAAAAUAGAAAUAGAAAAGAAUGUUUAAACCUCUGUGGUGAGAAACAAUGUGAAUGAAGGAGGGGAGUAAAAUCUCCACGAGCUUUUUCUCUCUCACAGGGAGGAAGAUGAGCUGUAGUUAAAUCAGCAUGAUGUCACACAGGGAACAUCCCAUCACCGGCAGCUGCUUCCUGUUGCCAGUAGCAACCACACCGACACAGUUUCCUGUCAGUUUGUGUGGGGUUAUCUAACAUCACCGGUGCUGGGUGUGUGGCUGUAAACUGCUACACCCGCUGAAUGAGGAAACAUGGAGCUCAGAGACGUUGUUUUGCUCAUGCAAGAGGAGAGAAGGUCAGCAUAAAAGAAGAAGAAAUGAAGUGUUCCAGGUCUGAUUCCAGGUCUCAUCCAGGUUUGUUCCAGGUCUGAUUCCAGAUGUUAUCCAGGUUUGUUCCAGGUCUGAUUCCAGGUUUUAUCCAGGUUUGUUCCAGGUCUGAUUUGCAGGUCUUAUCCAGGUUUGUUCCAGGUCUGAUUCCAGGUCUUCUACAAGUUUGUUCCAGGUCUGAUUCCAGGUCUUAUCUAGGUUUGUUCUAGGUCUGAUUCCAGGUCUUAUCCAGUUUGUUCUAGGUCUGAUUCCAGGUCUUAUCCAGGUUUGUUCUAGGUCUGAUUCUAGGUCUUAUCCAGGUUU